AUUAUUUUUUCUUCUUAUAUAAUCAGUUCUCGGGCUUUCUUCAUCUACAAUCAAUCCAUUCUCUGUAUUGCUGUUAGAAAUAUCGUCAAAACUUACACGACAUCGAACAUGAAACACGCGAUAGAAAUGUGAGAUGUUGUGGCAUCAAACUGGCUACCCUUGACUGCUCUCAAUCUAGGGGCCAUCAGACCCUGCAUGUCGUGCACCCACACGGAGAGACGGCUCUGCUAUCGGGCUAGGGCCGUGUGAAGCUCCCCGGUGGUUGCGAUCCCUGGCGGCUUAGCAACAGCGGUGACCGGUCGGGCGCUUCUCUCUCUCUCAGGUCCAUUGACCGUCGCUUAAGCAUGAUGACGGGGUCAUUGAACCACUUCUAACCGCGAGGGUCUUUGGAUCCUCAAUGGUGGCUAGGCGAAAGAGGCCAACCACUGCUAACCUGCGUUUUCAGAUCGAUAAAGAGAGGAAGGGAGGUGAGAGGAAGGUCGAACAUGGAUGGGUUUUUGAAGUGGACGCAGGCUCUUGCAUCAGCAUGGGGAGUCAUACUGAUUCUCGGUCUCAUCGGGUGUUGCCUCAGCACCAUCCCUCACCACCACGACGACAAAACCAGCGGUUGUGCUGGCUGCACUAGUGAUAUCGGUGUAUGAUGUGUGCUCAUUCUUCUUCUUCUUCUUGAAUUGUGAACAUACCGAGACCAUGGAGGCAUCCGUUGGUUAAAGGCCAUGAAAACACUUCCUUUUUGACCGUGUUAACAGAUGAAGGUUGUACAGUUGGUAGUCUUCAUCGUUUCUGUUUGAUUCUCAAUCUUAUAUUGUAUAUGGAUCUGUAAAUGAGCCUUGAUAUGCCUAGGUCAUGCUAUAAGUGUAUACAAAUUAAUUUGUGGUGCA